rnacentral:rRNA from 1 species
GGACUACCGGGGUAUCUAAUCCCGUUUGCUCCCCUGGCUUUCGCGCCUCAGCGUCAGUAGAGAUCCAGCGCGCCGCUUUCGCCACCGGUGUUCCUUCCGAUAUCUACGCAUUUCACCGCUCCACCGGAAGUUCCGCACGCCCCUAUCUCCCUCCAGACAAGCAGUAUCGGGGGCCCUUCCACGGUUGAGCCGUGGGCUUUCACCUCCGACUUGCCUGCCCGCCUACGCGCCCUUUAAGCCCAGUGAUUCCGAAUAACGUUCGCACGGUUCGUCUUACCGCGGCUGCUGGCAC